CGAACGGACUCAAGUGGUGCUGCUGCCGCUCGAGGCGCUGUGACUGACCGAGAGGGAGAGAGAGAGAGGGGUGACGACCGCUGUGUGUGCCCUCCCUCCCGCUUCCGUCAGUCUGCCCCGCGUCCUAUCCCGAGGAGAACUCUGUCUCUGGGCUUUUUUUCCCCCUCCUCUGGUUGAGUUUCUUUGGACACUUGUAGGAAGCCGAGGGGAUGGGAGGCCUCCGUGCCCGGCGCUGGGCCUGGCGGGGGGGAAGGAAGGAGCCUGGAUGAAAACUCCAGAGAUAUGAAUCCUUCACACAGAAUGCUCUGCCUCCAACUGUAGUUUUGACCUGGGAACUGUUAGCAAGAUCAUCUAGCCUGCUGUGAUCAAGGAGAGAGGAGAUCUCAGUGGUAACCAGUCCAAGCUCUGAAUAUGUCCAGCUUUGGUUUGUGAGUGUCAGCUGCUCUAUGCUGGGGAGCCCGCCUGCAACACAAGAAAGAAUGCAGCUUCCGUGCUGCUGAACUACGGGCACUGUGGUGUCAGCGUUUACACAAUAAGCCUUCAUUCCCUGGGAUCAUGGACUCAGCUGGAUGUUGCCUGGAGAGUUUCUUUUUUUUCUCCUUCUAAUAAAGCCUUGGCCCUAGGACAUGAGGCUAAAGUAGCGCCUGUUGGAAACUGAAGCUAUGAUUCAUAACAAGAGAGCAUAAAACCAAGAGUUUCUAUGUAGAUUUGUUAUGAAACUUAGAAUUUUCUUUUCCUAGAAAUAAAGGAAAAAUCUUCUUAAAACACAGACCUAUAAAAUAAUCUUCUGUCCACUAAAUGUACUGAACUUCACAAGGACUUGGAAUCAUAACUCAGAAAUAUUUUUGUGUUUCAAACUAGCUAGCUAAUCAUAAAAGGCUUGAUGUUUAUGCAAUUCAACAGAUACUUGUUGAGUGUUAACUGCUUCAAGGUCACAGAGUAGUUUAAAAGGCAAAUUUAAAAUUAAAAAGCAUUAAGCUUAUAGCUAAAAAAAUUUGGUAUGGACUUCAGAUAAGCCAGGCUCUUGUAUCAUUUCUCAGGGACAAGUUAAAAAUAAAUUAUGGCUCAUGUGAUGUAGAGUUAACUGGCUUCUUCUGGUCUAAUAGAUGCCUUAACAUUUUAAAGAACACUAAUUGAUUAUCCAGGGAGGGUGUCUUUUCUGUUUGGUAAAGGAGUUAAGUAUGGCUAAAUAUACCGUCUCUUAGGAAUGUUGUAGAAAGCUGGAAAAGGAACACAGUUUUUGUGAACAAAAGCUGAUGUAUUUCCUGGCUGUCUAUUCUCAGGUCUUCAGGUAUUUGGCAAUGGAAACUCCCUGAUCUCAGUGACACAAGAGUUGGGUGGCUAUAGUAAGGACUUUUCUUGACUAGAAUACAUUAUCUCAGACUGAGUUCGAACAUUCAUUUUAGAUGACUGUGUUUGUAUUUUGGGAUAUGAAGAAGGUCUCCAGUCAGACAGGUUUUGUUUAUCUUACAGGAAGGGUAGUAAAAAACAAAUUACUAGAGAAGAUUCAAAGGUUUAUGGAUAAGAUGAUAGUGGCUAUGAUUUAUGGUAUUAUUAUGUAUAGUAUAUGUAUCAUAUUACAUAUAGUAUUUAGUUAUUUAUGGUAUUAUAUAAUUAUGUAUAGUAUUCAAUGUAUAGUAUUAUUAUGAAUAGUAUUCAAUCUUAGCCAUCACUUGAUUCAUUUGAGAAACUCAAUAUAAUCCAGUAGAUCAUCAAAUGAAAAUUUAGAGCUGGUACUGUACUCCAUUUUCUUGUGGCUAUUUCUUAGGCAAAAGGUCCCUGACGAUAGAAAUUCAAGUGCUUUGGAAUAAGGAUGGAUUGAUUGACUUGGAGAAACUAAAGCUGGACUUUGUAUUCCAUUUAAUGUAGGGUGGCCUUUUUUUGUGGGAAAACAUUAUAUGGUCAGAGUUGGAAAAAGCAUUUUACUUUGGAAGGAUGCUUCAUAAUAAAAGGACUGUAACCCUA